GUCCUUAUGAUUAUAAUAUAAGGUUUAAUCUGCCCAUUGAAUUUUUAAAGGCCGCAGUAAUUUGACUGUGCGAAGGUAGCAUAAUCAAUAGUUUUUUAAUUGAAAGCUUGUAUGAAUGAUUGGACGAGAAAAAAACUUUUUUAAUUUUAAAUAAUUAUAAUUUUAUUUUUAAGUUAAAAAGCUUAAGUAUAGUUAAAAGACGAGAAGACCCUAUAGAGUUUAAUAAUUUAAUAAUUAUUAUUUUUAGUUAAUUUUAAAUUAAUUAAUAAAAUUAUUUAAUUGGGGUGAUUUUAAAAUUUAAUAAACUUUUAUUAAUAUAAACAAUAAUAUUUGAACGAUUGAUCCUAUAUUAGAUUAAAAGAUUAAAUUACCUUAGGGAUAACAGCGUAAUUUUUUUGAAGAGUUCUUAUCAAUAAAAAAGAUUGCGACCUCGAUGUUGGAUUAAGAUAAAAUUUUAAUGUAGAAGUUAAAAAAUUAAGUCUGUUCGACUUUUAAAAUCUUACA
rnacentral:rRNA from 1 species